GUUAGGUAAUUUUUUUUGUUUUACAGGUUGGACUCUGGAUUAGCAGGUAAAUUAAAUUAAACUGUUCUAUAUUUAUUGACCUACUUUUGCAGGUAAGUGGCUUUCCUAAUACAUUUGAUAGCCUGAUUUACCUACCCCACCAUCCUAAUCUGUUUUAAAGUAUGCUUUAGUCUGGGCUCCUUUGUUUUACAGGUUAGGCCCUGAUGUAAGCAAGGCUAGCAGUGGAGUGAGAUAAACUUGGACUACUAAAGCUUGUAAUAUGUUAAUACAUGAAUAGGCAUGCAUAGAUAGUAGUGAUUACUGCUGAUGCUUGUGAUGUGUGUAUGAGUGGAUUAUCUGAGAAUUCAGUUUGUUUUCAUUUUUUCAUCCUUGGCACUUGUUUUACAGGUUGGAUUCUGAUGUGCAUAAGGACAGAAGCAAAAGGUAGGCAGCCUGGAAUUGCUGGAACCAGAUAUUUUUGUUUUACAGGUGGAGACCUCGUAUUUAAAAGGCUAGGAGUGGAGGCAGGUAACUUAGGACUGCUGAAGUUUUUGAUAGUUGCCCCGGCUAAAGAAUCACUAUUACUCACCUAUUUGUUUUUACUGGUUUACCUGGUUUGGGAAGGAUCUAGCCGCUAUGGUGCUUCAUCUUUUAUUUUUUUUAUUUUAGUAACUAUGAGUGGAUGCACAAAUGCCAUUUGGCACUAUCAUUCUUUAGCCUGGGCAUAUUUGUUUUAUAGUUUAAUCCUGCUGUAGGAAAGGAGGCAGAAACAGAUGACCUGGCACUGAUGAAUCUUGUGAGCAGAAGAAAAUGUACAUGAAUAAUGAAGAUUUCUGUUUGGGAAACAUCUAGACACUUAGGAACUUCAGCCAUGGCUGGGUUGCCUCCUGUCCUACACCAGUACCCAAAGGCAGGUGACCUGGGAUUGCUGAAGCUUGCGGUUAACAAGUGAGCAGAGGAGAAGGUAUGCUUGAACAAUGAUAGUGAUUGUUUUUCCUAGUUUGUUUUACAGCUGUCCUUGGUUUUUGCAUUGUCUAGCUGCUGUGCUACCCCAGCCUUGGCAGAGGCCGGUUUACUUGGUAGGUAUGAGUGGUUGGGCUAACUCAGUUUGGCAUUAUCAUUCUUCAUCAUGGACAUCUUUGUUUUAUAGGUUGGGACCAUUUUCCUUAAAUGGAACAAGCAAGGCAUGGCAGCAGAUAACGGUACUGCUGAAGCUUAUGAUAGAACAAUGGGUACAUUUAGAACAGUGUACAUUUAAUUUUACAGGACUUCUAUCCACGGUGACACUUCAGUCAUGACAGGGUCACUUGGAAUCCUGUUUCUUUUAGUAGGUAUAUGAGUUGAUGGGGAAAUGUAGUUUUUUUUUUUUUUUCUUUUAUCUGGGCAUCUUUUGUUUUACAGACUGGCACAUUAUGUGGAAAAGGCGGAGAUUGGCUAGUGUGGUUAGGAGUGGUGGCAGGUAACUUUUUACUACUGAAGCUUGUGAAGGUGAGUAAAGGAUUCUGUGUGGGCUGUGUGAGCAUAUAUUUGUUUUUCCAGUUUUUCCUAUUUGGCAUACCACUAGACACUGUAAUACUUAAGCUAUGGCUGGGUAAUUGAAAUCCUAUCUCUUUUGGUAAGUUAUGAGUGGAUGAUUGGCAAAAACAAUAUUUCCAUUUUCUCAGCCUGGGCAUCUUUGUUUUUACUGCUUGGAUCCAAAUGUGUGAAAGAAUAGGCACUAGAGGCAGGUGACCUGAGACUGCUGGAACCUGAGAUUUAAUAGGUGAGUAGAAGAAUAAGUCACUUAGAUAAUAGUGAUUCUUCAGCCCGGACAUCUUUGUUUUGCAGGUUAGGACCUUGUGUUUUAAAAGGAUAGGAGUGGAGAGAGGUAAUGUAGGACUACUAGAGCUUAUACUAGGUAAGUAAAGAAAUAGAUGUGUAUAUCAAAUAGUGAUUCUUUAGCCUGGGCUACCAUUUGUUUUUACAGGUGUACCUAAUUUGGGAAGGAUCUAGUCACUGUGGUACUUCAGCCGAGUAACUUGGAAUCCUGUUUCUUUUGGUAGGUAUGAGGAUGGCCUAAUUCAGUUUGGCACUACUGUUCUUUCCUACAUCUGGACCCAACCUGUUAAACAAAAAAUGUCCAUGCUGAAGAAGGCAGAGGCAGGUUACUUACCAUUGCUAAAGUUUACGACUGGUGAGUAGAAAAAUGUUGACAGGGGUUACUUGGAAUCCUUUGUUUUGGUAAGUAUGAGUAAAUGCACAAAUGCAAUUUUGGCAUUAUCAUUCUUUAGCCUUGGCAUCUUUCUUUUUAUAGGUUGGGUCCUGGUGUAGGAAUGGAGGCAGAGGCAGGUGACUGCUGAAGCUUGUGGACAACUGCAAGGACAACUCUAGUCUAGAUUGGGGACAUUGUGUGGAAAAGGCUAAAAGCAGAGAAGGGUAACUUGGGACUGCUAAAGCUUAUGAUAGGUUGGGUCCUGGUGUAGGAAAGGAGGCAGAGGCAGGUGACUGCUGAAGCUUGUGGACAACUGCAAGGACAACUCUGGUCUAGAUUGGGGACAUUGUGUGGAAAAGGCUAAAAGCAGAGAAGGGUAACUUGGGACUGCUAAAGCUUAUGAUAGGUAAGUAGUAGUAUAAAUAUGCUACAAUGAGAAUACUAAUUCUUUAGUCUGGGUAACCAUUGUCUUUUAUUUUUUUAACCGACAUCCAACCACUGUAUUGCUUCAGUCUUGGCAGGGUUACAUAAUAUCCUGUUUCUUUUGUUUGGUAUGUAAGUGUAGAUAAAUUGUGGACGGAGCACAGGAACAUCCUUCCAUAAAAUAUCACUUUUAUUCAAACGAUUAAAACCAUCAUGGAGUUAGGCACCCACAGCUUUACGUGUUUCAUGGCUUCUCGCCACUUCAUCAGAAGCUACAAAAGAUUUAGGGCUGACGGCAGAUUACUUUGGACGGAUGGAGCUUGUUAUUUAAUAGGUAAGUGGAAAAAUAGGUGUGCUAAGAAACAUUUUAUUCAGCAUGUGCAUCUUUGUGUUACAGGUUUUCCUGGAUUGGGUGAUGUCUAACCACCUUGGUUUUUCAGCUGUUGGAGUUCAUUUGGAGUCUUAUUUCUUGUUGGUAGGUAUGGAUGGACAAAUUCAGUUUGUUUUUGUAUUUUUCAGCAUGGACAUCUUUGUUUUACAGAUUUGAACUCUGCAUCUAUUCCAUGACUUCAAGACGGAUAACAUUGGGCUUCUGAACCAUGCAAACAGAUGAGUAGGAAAAAGAGUGAAUGAAAAACGGAGUGAUUCUUUUAACUAGGCAUUGAUUUGUUUUUACAGGAGACACCUAGCCACUGUGGUGCAUCGGCCUUGGAAUUUUUGGGGGGAUUUUUUUUUCUUUUAGUAAGUAUAUGAGUGGAUAAUAGGCAAAUUCAGUUUUUGUAUUCUUUUUUUCAGCCUGGCCAUGUUUGUUUUUAUAGGUUGGAACCUUGUGUAUAAAAGGCUAGGAGUGGAGGUAGGUAAUUUAUAACUAUUGCAUCUUAUGAUCGGUAGGUAAAGAAAUAGAUGUGCAUGUAUUAUAAUGAUUCUUCAGCAACCAUUUUUUUUUUUUAACAGUACCUAGUUCAGGAAGGUACUGUACAUUUUGGCAUUAUCAUUCUUUAGUCUGGGCAUCUUUAUUUAUAGGUUGGUUCCUGGUAUAGGAAAGGAGGCAGAGGCAGAUGACCUUGGACUGCUGAAGCUUGUGGUCAACAGGUGAGCAGAGGAAAAAGUAUAAAUGAAUUAAGAUAAUGGAAUAAAAACAAAAUCUCUAUUUGUUUCUACAGGUGUUCCUAUUUUUGGCAUUGUCUAGCCACUGUUGUACCACAGCCAUGGCAGUGGCGGGCUUAUUUGGAAUCCUGUUUCUUUUGGUAGGUAUGAGUGGAUGGGCUAAUUUAGUUUGUCAUUAUUAUUCAGCAAAGACAUCUUUGUUUUCCAGAUUGGGACAUUGUGUGGAAAUGGCUGGCAGUAGAGGCAGGUAAUUUAGGACUGCAGAAGCUUAUAAUAGGUGAGUAGAAGAAUUGAUGUGCAUGGAUUAUAAUUUGUCAGCCUUGAGUUUCUCUUUACAGGUUGGCACAUUGUGUUUUAAAAGGCUAGGAGUAGAGAAAGGUAACUUGGGAUUGCAGAAGCAUAUGCUAGGUAAAUCGAAUAAUAAAUGUGCAUGGAUAAUAUGAAUUAUUUAGCCUGGCAUCCAUUUUGUUUUUACAGACAUCCAGCCACUGUGGUGCUUCUGUCUUGGCGGGGGUGCCUGGUAUCCAGUUUCUUUUACUGGGUAGUUUUAUUUUCAAUCUUCAGCUCUGGCAUCCAUGUUUUUAAAGGUUGGGUCUUGGUGUAAGAAAGGAUUGGAGAUGAUGGCAGGUGAUCUGGGACUGCUGGUAAGUGGAAGAAUAGGUGUGCUAAGAAAAAUGUCUCUUCAGUAUGUGCGUCUUUGUUUUACAGGUUUUCCUGGACCAGGAGAGGUCUAGCCACCAUGGAUUUUAAGCCUUUGCAGUUUAUUUUGAAACUUUUUUUCUUGUGGAUUGGCCCAAGUUUGGGAAAAGUCUAUCCAUAAAGGGCACUUCAGCUUUGUCAAAUUUGGGACGUUUCCAUUUGGGACCUGGUUUGGGAAACGUCUAAGCCGUACAGCCAUUUUCUUCUUUGAUGCCCUACCAACUCAGCACCCAAGGCAACAACUCUUUCCUGCUCCAAACACAUUAAGUGGAAGAAUAACUGGACUGGAUUUUUACUGUGCCAUGAUGUGUCCAUUUGGAUUUAAUAUUUGUAUUAGGAUUGUAAAAUGUUUUUUUUAUUUAAUGUGUUUUGAUUAACUUUCAAGUAAAUGUAUUUUCUUUCUUUUUCUUUGGUCUGGGGUAUAUUUGAUGAAUUGUGCAAGUUAGCUCCUUCUCCAGCAAGCAAUAGGCACUACACAUUUUACUAGUUAUAGGAUGGUGACUGGCUUCAGAUUGCACAGAUUUUCCCCAAGGAACAAUUCUUAAACAAAUCUAAGAAAAGGCAGUUUUUUCAAUGCCAACGUUGCUUCCAGCAGCAAGGUGAGUCUGACUACUGUUGGCCAUUACAGGAUAUAUCCAUAAGUCAAAAGGAUUCCUAGAAUAUUGAUUAACUUUAAAACUAACAUCAUCCAUGCUAUAAGUUUACUUCUGGGUUUAAUAGUCACAUUCACUAGUAAACCCCUGUGGGAAAGUUAAAAAAAACACUGCUACAGUCAUAUUGUGACAAUAUGGCCCAUAGAGUUUACUCUUUAAGCAGAGUCCAUAAAAAGCAUUUACUAAUAGUUUUAAUGAGAAUCUUAGGAUGCCUCCUGCUUAUGUGAACGCACAUUAGUUACUAUGGGUUACUGCUCCAGCACAAACAUGUUAAAAACAAUCAUGAAUUAUACCAGUUGCUUAAGCAAUUUUUACUUCCUUUUCAUAAUUGCCUCUGGUUUUACAAGUUACUCUUUACCACUUUAGCCUACAACAUUAGAUGAUAUGAGAUGUUCCCUUUUUAUGUGAUCCAUGGUGAAAUGGUUGUUCAAAAAUAAUCUUGUUGGCUCAUUGGUUCCGGUUCUGUUAUUUAAAAGUACAAUAAAUAAAUUGUCUUAAAA